GAUGAACGCUGGCGGCGUGCUUAACACAUGCAAGUCGAACGAAGCAUUUAAGACAGAUUACUUCGGUUUGAAGUCUUUUAUGACUGAGUGGCGGACGGGUGAGUAACGCGUGGGUAACCUGCCUCAUACAGGGGGAUAGCAGCUGGAAACGGCUGGUAAUACCGCAUAAGCGCACAGUACCACAUGGUACAGUGUGAAAAACUCCGGUGGUAUGAGAUGGCCCCGCGUCUGUUUAGCUUGAUGGCGAGGUGACGGCCCACCAAGGCGACGAUCAGUAGCCGACCUGGGAGGGUGACCGGCCACAUUGGGACUGAGGCACGGCCCAGACUCCUACGGGAGGCAGCAGUGGGGAAUAUUGCACAAUGGAGGAAACGCUGAUGCAGCGACGCCGCGUGAGUGAAGAAGUAGUUCGCUAUGUAAAGCUCUAUCAGCAGGGAAGAUAGUGACGGUACCUGACUAAGAAGCUCCGGCUAAAUACGUG
rnacentral:rRNA from 1 species